GAUUGAAUAAAGGCCUGAUUCACUCUGAGUGCUUUCUGUGACAUGAGAAAUACAUUCAAAGUACUUUAAGUUUAAAAACACAAAAACACACAGAGCUAGCGGACCGUAGCCCCACCGAGAGGAAAAGACACGCCACUAACCAACUGUGUGAAACAAAUCUCUCCCAGUGCCCUCUCCGCCAGGCCAUGUUGUAAAUUCAGAUUGAUGGCUCUUGAUUGGCUCUCAGUGUUUCUAUCAUUUAUCAAAUCACUCUGAAAGCGAUCCCAGCAAUAUUGUUCUCCACUGUCGUCGUUAGUUGUGGUGUGGACUCCGCCAUCCACUUGAAUUGCGAUUUUUAAAACUAUAUAUCUAUAGUUAUCGUUAUAGUUAUCGUUCUUGGUGUGAACG